UUAUCAACGCACCGUAUUUUAUUUGUGUGAACAACAGAUAAUAAAUGCUUGAGUGCUGCUUGAUAUUUCACGAUGCAUAGUUCAUAAUUCAGAAAACAUAAUUUAUCUGACUGGCAUCGGACUUAUCAACGCAAAGUUGAAAAGGGUCGUUCGUUACCAACCGUUUCUCAGUCAGGUGAUUUGUAUUAAACUGCCAUUCUGCUAAAUGCCAAUAUGGGUGAGCGUGCAAUUCCAGUGACUAAAUGUGAAGAAUAGACACUUUCUGGAUAUGUCAAGAACUUAGGAGAUUGUGGAAGUUGAGAAGGGUGUUAGCUGCGUGCAAAAUCAAAAGAGGUCAGUUACCUUACAACUUUCCAAGGUCAGGUAUCGUGGGUCUGACAGGGAGCAAUCCAAAGCAAGGAAUAAACAAAGUAGAAGAGGAUAAGGAAACAUCGAAUGGCACAGUGUUGAGAAUAUUAAUUACAGACUUCAAGAUUUAUCCUCACAGAAAUAUGGCCCUCUUCAGUACGGAAGCCACCAAUGGAUCAAGACCAGCCAAUCAAAUCAUUUUUCACAACUGUGGAAUGUCAAGCCAUCUCAGGAAGUUGUUACAGAAGAGGUUUGCCAGUUGGUCGACUUCGCCUCGAGGGAUUAUGGAAGAACAUCUGAAAUAGCAGGCAUGAUUGUCCCCGUCUCCGUAAAAAGAGGUAUCUGAUUUUUAUUAUUAUAUUUUUUUUAAGGAGAAUUUUUUCGAGUUUUUGGCUAGAAAGGUUUUGCUAACGUCAUCAGCGACAGUAGUAAAAGCUGCUAGACAUAAUUCAGAAUUGCUUCGCGUAAUUGGCAUAACUUUAGACCUUCUUUAGCAUUGCUUCAAACUAUUAGACCCGGUUCCAAUAUUAGGAACAGAUUCUCCAUAUCAAUAUGUGGAAUAUAAAAACCAAUUAGAGCACAAAAUACGAUUGUGAUACUAAUAACAAAAUUGGAGUCUCUUAUAUAUUGAAGCGGAUUUUUUGUGUUUAUAUGUUACAUAAGGUAAAAUAACGAUCAAAGAACAUUUGUUGUAAUACAAAUUAUACCUGAUUAAAGAAAAGGGGCAAAGAGAAACUGUCUAAACGAAUAAAAUAGUUAUCCUUAAUAUGAGCCAUGAAGGUUUUCUAU